rnacentral:tRNA from 1 species
GAGGGUAUAGCUCAGUGGUAGAGCGCAUGCUUAGCAUGCAUGAGGUCCCGGGUUCAAUCCUUAGUACUACCU